rnacentral:lncRNA from 1 species
UACGCUUAACAGUUCCUGUGAGUAUAUUGCAGUCGCUGUCCUUCUACGGUCACACUUGCCGUCCGGUUUGUCUUCGAGCCUGGUCUUCAAUGAUCCUGACCUUGGAGGAGAACGUGCAUGGAUCACUCGUGGGCCUCGCAGUUGAGAUUGUCCCCGGUGGCCAUAUUAGUAUGCUGAACGCAAGGUGGCUGCCAUGUUCCUGCGUGGGUCCAUACAAGCCCCAGAGCCAGUGUUCGAGUGCUGUCGAAUAAGUUCGAGCGCCAUCAGUAGACAGGAGUUCAAAUCUUGUUCAGUCCUCAACCUGCGCAACCUACAACUGUCUUCGUUUGCACCAGGAGAGGAGAGCCCAUCCCCAUAGCAUUUCCCUGCUGGCGCUGAGCGGGUCUUCCUGGUUGACAUCCUCUCAACCAGCAUAGCCUCGCCUUUGCAAAGGGGCGGCGACACCUGUACUAUGGACUGCAAAACCAGGAAACACUGACAAGGAGGUGCACCGCCAGCAAUUCAGGGACCACUGAAAUAGCCAUCAUUGCUGCGAGCUUCGCUAGCGGCACCAACUUGGCAGCACUGCAUCUGGUGCACGCAAUGGACGAUCCCGCAGGUCCUUCGUGUAUUUCAUCCAGCCCUUGCUCCACCAAAGACGACUUCCGCGGUUUGACCGUCCCUCAGCCGACAGUUUCUCCUCCCUGCUGGUGCCCACUGCUUUCUCGUAAUGGACCUUUGCUCGGCGAUCUGCAGUCACUUGCCUUGCCAACUUUCGCACCUGGCACACGCAAGGGACAAUCCUGCCAGUCCUUGUACGUCAUCCACUCCUUGCUUCAGAGAAGAUGACGACCCCACUAGACCGUCCCUCAGCAGACGGUGUUUCUUCUUCAUGCUAUCACCCACCGCGCUCUACUGGUGGGCCUUUGCUGCGUGAUCUGCAAUAACUCGCCUUGCCAACCUCUGCUUCUGGUGCAUGCAAUGGGCGAUCUUGCCGGUCCUUCGCGUACGUCCUCUAGCCUUUGCUUCAUCAACUUCCGCAGUCGAACAUCCUUCAGACGAGCGUUUGAU